rnacentral:rRNA from 1 species
GAUUUCGGAAAUAAAGAGCAAAAACAGGAAUGGCUUCCAAAGAUCGCCCGGGGAGAAACAAUGGCUACCCUGGCAUUGUCGGAAGCGGGCAGCAGCCCUUGUCCCGAUGAUUUAACUUCAAAGGCUGUUGCAGAUGGGGAUGGCUACGCAAUUACCGGCACGAAGUUCUUUGUGCCCGACGCCCAUGUCGCCGGCUUGAUGGUCUGUGCGGCCAAAACCGACACAGGCGUUACGUUGUUUUUGGUGGACACGAAAACGGAUGGGAUUCGUCAUACUUUGCUGAAGACAAUUGACAGCGCUAAAUAUUGUGAGGUGGUCUUUGACCAGGUGAAGGUGCCCGGGAAAAACAUCCUUGGUGGUUUUGGGAAAGGCCGGGCUCAGCUGGAAAGCCUGCUGCAAAAAGCGGCAAUCGCAAAGUGCGCCCAGAUGGUCU